rnacentral:rRNA from 1 species
GCGACCCCAGGAUGGGCGAGGCCACCCGCCGAAUUUAAG